GGCUGCAGGCCUGCUACAAUCACAGGGUCUACGUAGAGGUCAAUGAUGGGAGAUGGUCCUUUCCCCCAAAGGUUCUCACCAGAGGAUGCUGAGAGGAAAAGCGCUCCUCACUUCCCUUGUCCAUCAUCCUGUACGGGAGGCCACCAGGAGAGACUGAAACAGUGCAGGCUGCAAAAUGCAAAUGACACCCAGCCUACCUUCUGAGACCUGUCAGUGAGGGAGGAACAGAGCCAGCUUAAAACAACCAAAAGCCACAAUGGAGGCUUAUCAUCGGUGAGGAAGGAAGAUUUUGUGGUAGAAGCACAGGAUCCACAGAGAUUUGGAGUCUUUCUAUUCCUGGCUGUGCCAUAAACUUCCUCUAGAACCUUGCCCAAGUCACUGACCCUUUCUGUACCUCAGUUUCCCCAUCUGCAAAAUGGGAGAAAACGCCCUCUGGCUGAUAAUCUGCUGGAAACCAG